GGUCUGAGUCUGAGUGUAGUGGGUGUUUACAACUAAUUGAUCACAACUACUUUACAGAUUUCUUUGUUCCUUCUCCACUCCCACUGCUUCACUUGGCUAACCUAAA
ensembl:misc_RNA Y_RNA Y RNA